GAUGAACGCUGGCGGCGUGCCUAAUACAUGCAAGUCGAGCGAACGGACGAGAAGCUUGCUUCCCUGAUGUUAGCGGCGGACGGGUGAGUAACACAUGGAUAACCUACCUAUAAGACUGGGAUAACUUCGGGAAACCGUAGCUAAUACCGGAUAAUAUUUUGAACCGCAUGGUUCAAAAGUGAAAGACGGUCUUGCUGUCACUUAUAGAUGGAUCCGCGCUGCAUUAGCUAGUUGGUAAGGUAACGGCUUACCAAGGCAACGAUGCAUAGCCGACCUGAGAGGGUGAUCGGCCACACUGGAACUGAGACACGGUCCAGACUCCUACGGGAGGCAGCAGUAGGGAAUCUUCCGCAAUGGGCGAAAGCCUGACGGAGCAACGCCGCGUGAGUGAUGAAGGUCUUCGGAUCGUAAAACUCUGUUAUUAGGGAAGAACAUAUGUGUAAGUAACUGUGCACAUCUUGACGGUACCUAAUCAGAAAGCCACGGCUAACUACGUG
rnacentral:rRNA from 1 species